AGAGUUUGAUCAUGGCUCAGGAUGAACGCUAGCGGCAGGCCUAAUACAUGCAAGCCGAGGGGCAGCACGAUCUUCGGAUUGGUGGCGACCGGCGCACGGGUGCGUAACGCGUAUGCAACCUACCCACUACAGGGGGAUAGCUCCCGGAAACGGGAAUUAAUACCGCAUAAAGCAGGGGUCUCACCUGAGACGAUUGCUAAAGAUUUAUCGGUAGUGGAUGGGCAUGCGUCUGAUUAGUUAGUUGGUGAGGUAAUGGCUCACCAAGACUGUGAUCAGUAGGGGGUCUGAGAGGAUGACCCCCCACACUGGUACUGAGAUACGGACCAGACUCCUACGGGAGGCAGCAGUAGGGAAUAUUGGGCAAUGGGUGAGAGCCUGACCCAGCCAUGCCGCGUGCAGGAAGACGGCCUUAUGGGUUGUAAACUGCUUUUGUAAGGGAAGAAAAUAAUCUUGCGAGAUCAAUUGACAGUACCUUACGAAUAAGCACCGGCUAACUCCGUGCCAGCAGCCGCGGUAAUACGGAGGGUGCAAGCGUUGUCCGGAUUUAUUGGGUUUAAAGGGUACGUAGGCGGGCCAUUAAGUCCGUGGUGAAAGCCUGUAGCUCAACUACAGAACUGCCAUGGAUACUGAUAGUCUUGAGUGCAGCAGAGGUGGGCGGAAUUCAUGGUGUAGCGGUGAAAUGCAUAGAUACCAUGAGGAACCCCGAUAGGGAAGCCAGCUCACUAGACUGUAACUGACGCUGAGGUACGAAAGCGUGGGGAGCGAACAGGAUUAGAUACCCUGGUAGUCCACGCCGUAAACGAUGCUCACUCGAUGUAUGCGAUACAGUGUAUGCGUCCAAGCGAAAGCGUUAAGUGAGCCACCUGGGGAGUACGCCCGC
rnacentral:rRNA from 1 species